AACGAACGCUGGCGGCGUGCCUAAUACAUGCAAGUCGAGCGCAGGAAGACGUUCUGAACCCUUCGGGGGGACGACGGUGGAAUGAGCGGCGGACGGGUGAGUAACACGUAAAGAACCUGCCCAUAGGUCUGGGAUAACCACGAGAAAUCGGGGCUAAUACCGGAUGUGUCAUCGGACCGCAUGGUCCGCUGAUGAAAGGCGCUCCGGCGUCGCCCAUGGAUGGCUUUGCGGUGCAUUAGCUAGUUGGUGGGGUAACGGCCCACCAAGGCGACGAGGCAUAGGCGACCGGGGAGGGUGAUCGGCCACACUGGGACUGAGACACGGCCCAGACUCCUACGGGAGGCAGCAGUAGGGAAUCUUCCACAAUGGACGAAAGUCUGAUGGAGCAACGCCGCGUGAACGAUGAAGGCUUUCGGGUCGUAAAGUUCUGUUGUAAGGGAAGAACAAGUGCCGCAGGCAAUGGCGGCACCUUGACGGUACCUUGCGAGAAAGCCACGGCUAACUACGUGCCAGCCGCCGCCGUAAAAC
rnacentral:rRNA from 1 species